rnacentral:rRNA from 1 species
AUUCCAGCUCCAAUAGCGUAUAUUUAAGUUGUUGCAGUUAAAAAGCUCGUAGUUGGAUUUCGGAUGUGAACGACCGGUCCGCCGUUGCGGUGUGCACUGGACGUUUGUAUCUUGUUGUCGGGGACGCGCACCUUGCCUUAACUGGUCGGGACGCGGAGUCGGCGCUGUUACUUUGAAAAAAUUAGAGUGUUCAAAGCAGGCAACCGCUCUGAAUACAUUAGCAUGGAAUAACGCUAUAGGACUCUGGUCUUAUUGUGUUGGUCUUCGAGACCGGAGUAAUGAUUAAGAGGGACAGUUGGGGGCAUUCGUAUUUCAUUGUCAGAGGUGAAAUUCUUGGAUUUAUGAAAGACGAACUUCUGCGAAAGCAUUUGCCAAGGAUGUUUUCAUUG